CACGAACCGUGCGAACGUUAUUCGGAAUCACUGGGCUUAAAGAGUGCGUAGGCGGCCUAGCAGGUGGGGUGUGAAAUCCCUCAGCUCAACUGAGGAACUGCGCUCCAAACCGCUAGGCUUGAGGGAGACAGAGGUGAGCGGAACUGAUGGUGGAGCGGUGAAAUGCGUUGAUAUCAUCAGGAACACCGGUGGCGAAGGCGGCUCACUGGGUCUCUUCUGACGCUGAGGCACGAAAGCUAGGGGAGCGAACGGGAUUAGAUACCCGGGUAGUCC
rnacentral:rRNA from 1 species